rnacentral:rRNA from 1 species
UACGUAGGUGACAAGCGUUGUCCGGAUUUACUGGGCGUAAAGGGCGCGUAGGCGGCCUCUGCAAGUCGACUGUGAAAUCUCCGGGCUUAACCCGGAAAGGUCAGCCGAUACUGCAGGGCUAGAGUGCAGAAGGGGCAACUGGAAUUCUCGGUGUAGCGGUGAAAUGCGUAGAUAUCGAGAGGAACACCUGCGGCGAAGGCGGGUUGCUGGGCUGACACUGACGCUGAGGCGCGAAAGCUAGGGGAGCGAACGGG